rnacentral:misc_RNA from 1 species
AAGUCGUAACAAGGUUUCCGUAGGUGAACCUGCGGAAGGAUCAUUAAUGAAUUUGAAAGGAGUUGUCGCUGGCCUUUACCGGCAUGUGCACGCUCUGCUCUCAUCCAUUCUACACCUGUGCACCUUUGCGUGGGUCCGUUGGCCCUUUCGAGGACCUUUGGGCUUGCGUUUCUUUACAUCCUCUUGUAUGUAUCAGAAUGUUAUCUAUGCUAUAAAAUGCAUCUUUAUACAACUUUCAACAACGGAUCUCUUGGCUCUC